UACGUAGGGUGCGAGCGUUGUCCGGAAUUAUUGGGCGUAAAGGGCUCGUAGGCGGUCUGUUGCGUCGGGAGUGAAAACUCAGGGCUUAACCCUGAGCCUGCUUCCGAUACGGGCAGACUAGAGGUAUGCAGGGGAGAACGGAAUUCCUGGUGUAGCGGUGAAAUGCGUAGAUAUCAAGAGGAACACCUGAGGUGAAGACGGGUUGCUGGGCCGACACUGACGCUGAAGCGCGAAAGCCAGGGGAGCAAACGGG
rnacentral:rRNA from 1 species